AUGAACGCUCGCGGCAGGCCUAACACAUGCAAGUCGAGGGGUAGAAGGAGCUUGCUCCUUUGAGACCGGCGCACGGGUGCGUAACGCGUAUGCAAUCUACCUUGUACAGGGGAAUAGCCCAGAGAAAUUUGGAUUAAUGCCCCAUAGUAUAUAACCUUCGCAUGUUGGUUAUAUUAAAGUUCCAACGGUACAAGAUGAGCAUGCGUCCCAUUAGUUAGUUGGUAAGGUAACGGCUUACCAAGACGAUGAUGGGUAGGGGUCCUGAGAGGGAGAUCCCCCACACUGGUACUGAGACACGGACCAGACUCCUACGGGAGGCAGCAGUGAGGAAUAUUGGUCAAUGGUCGCAAGACUGAACCAGCCAUGCCGCGUGCAGGAAGACGGUCCUAUGGAUUGUAAACUGCUUUUAUACAGGAAGAAACCCUCCCACGUGUGGGAGCUUGACGGUACUGUAGGAAUAAGGAUCGGCUAACUCCGUG
rnacentral:rRNA from 1 species